CUGUAGCUCAGUGGCAAAGCAUCUGCUUGGCGCGCAGAAGGUUCCAAUUUUCAAUCCUGGCAUCUCGA